CAAUAGCGUAUAUUAAAGUUGUUGUAGUUAAAAAGCUCGUAGUUGGAUUUCUGGUUGAAGCGACCGGUCGGGCGUUGAUUCGUCUGCACUGGAGUCGGUUUUGGCCAUCCUCUAGGAAAGUGCGUCUGGUAUUAAGUUAUCGGGCGUAUGAUCCUGGUCUUUUACUGUGAAAAAAUUAGAGUGUUUAAAGCAGGCCUUCGCCUUGAAUACAUUAGCAUGGAAUAAUAAGAUAGGACUUUGGUCUAUUUUGUUGGUUUGCAGACCGAAGUAAUGAUUAAUAGGGAUAGUUGGGGGUAUUUAUAUUCCGAUGUCAGAGGUGAAAUUCUUAGAUUUUCGGAAGAUAAACUUAUGCGAAAGCAUUUACCAAGGAUGUUUNCAUUA
rnacentral:rRNA from 1 species